rnacentral:rRNA from 1 species
CCCUUAGAUGUUCUGGGCCGCACGCGCGCUACACUGACGAAGUCAGCGAGCAUGUCCUACGCCGACAGGUGCGGGGAAUCUUGUCAAACUUCGUCGUGAUGGGGAUUGAUUAUUGAAAUUCUUGAUCAUCAACGAGGAAUUCCUAGUAAGUGCAAGUCAGCAGCUUGCGUUGAUUACGUCCCUGCCCUUUGUACACACCGCCCGUCGCUACUACCGAUUGAAUGGUUUAGUGAGAUCUUCGGAUUGGCGCCACUGCGGCUCAGCAAUGGGCUCGGUGGAUGCCGAAAAGUUGAUCAAACUUGAUCAUUUAGAGGAAGUAAAAGUCGUAACA